UACGUAGGGUCCAAGCGUUGUCCGGAUUUACUGGGCGUAAAGAGCGCGUAGGCGGCUCGUUAAGUGUGAAGUGAAAUCUCCAGGGCUCAACCCGGAAACUGCUUCGCAUACUGGCGAGCUGGAGUGACGAAGAGGUUUGUGGAAUUCCUGGUGUAGCGGUGAAAUGCGUUGAUAUCAGGAGGAACACCGAUGGCGAAGGCAGCAAACUGGUCGUCAACUGACGCUGAGGCGCGAAAGCUAGGGGAGCAAACAGG
rnacentral:rRNA from 1 species